UGGUUUAAUUCGAUGCAACGCGAAGAACCUUACCUGGUCUUGACAUCCACAGAAGAAUCCAGAGAUGGAUUUGUGCCUUCGGGAACUGUGAGACAGGUGCUGCAUGGCUGUCGUCAGCUCGUGUUGUGAAAUGUUGGGUUAAGUCCCGCAACGAGCGCAACCCUUAUCCUUUGUUGCCAGCGAUUAGGUCGGGAACUCAAAGGAGACUGCCAGUGAUAAACUGGAGGAAGGUGGGGAUGACGUCAAGUCAUCAUGGCCCUUACGACCAGGGCUACACACGUGCUACAAUGGCGCAUACAAAGAGAAGCGACCUCGCGAGAGCAAGCGGACCUCAUAAAGUGCGUCGUAGUCCGGAUUGGAGUCUGCAACUCGACUCCAUGAAGUCGGAAUCGCUAGUAAUCGUGGAUCAGAAUGCCACGGUGAAUACGUUCCCGGGCCUUGUACACACCGCCCGUCACACCAUGGGAGUGGGUUGCAAAAGAAGUAGGUAGCUUAACCUUCGGGAGGGCGCUUACCACUUUGUGAUUCAUGACUGGGGUGAAGUCGUAACAAGGUAACCGUAGGGGAACCUGCGGUUGGA
rnacentral:rRNA from 2 species